UAAUUAGGGGAAUUUAAGUCACCUGUGAGCACCUCCUUAAAAACACAGAAGGCACACACAAAAUGGAAAUGCAGUGUUUACAGGACAGAUAAUAAAUCUAUGAUCAUGGCUUCAGACACAGUUACAGACCUGACCCUGCAGACUGAUGAGGGUAUUUCACCGACCAAACAGGACCUGCAGGAUGUCGAGGACAGACUGGGCACCCUGUCUGAUAAGAUGACCCUGUGCAACAAAGUCCUGAAUGACUUGAAGAUUCUGAGUGAUAUUCUAGUGAGAAAAUCUCUCGAGGAUGUGUCCUUACCGCCGCAGGAGUGACCAGAAGUGGAACAGUAUCCCCCUUCCACCUCCCAUUUUCUUUUUAUUUUAUGACUAAAUAAAUCCAACUGUUAAUUUGAA